AAAAUGACUGAUAAGACACAGAGGGAUCAGGGAUACUUGGGACAGAGAUGAGUCGAGGCAUGACCUGGGAACUGUUAUCCUUAGGGAGAAGAGGAAACUGAAGCUGAACUGAUGCUAAGCUACAGGGCCAGUGGGGUGGAGGUGGUGAAGAUGCCAGGAAGCUCAUUGAGCUGGGGUCCAGCCUAUUGUCUCUGUCCCAUCCCUCGCCUAGGGCAGUAUGCCCUGAAAAUCCAGAUAGCAUCUUCCCUGAAAAGGCUUGAUGCUGUUACCAUGGAGGGCACCCAGGCUUUCUCAGCCAAAGGGGAUCCUUCUGUCUUUUUUUUUUUCCUACUAAAGCAGCGGUCUCUCAGAUGGGGGUCUGAAGAUUCUAUUUACACUAGUGACAAAUUAGAACCACACUGAAGGAUCAGUUGUUAAAGAUUAUUAAAUAAUUACCUAUACAUAAGACAGAAACCUAGGCGGCUGUCAAAAUGAACAGCGUGGGCUCCUAUUUAUCGGCACGCAUUUAUGUGCACACUGCACGCACACAGACUCAGGGUUGAGUGGAAAAGGAAAAACAAAGAACAUUUUGUCCCCAGCACAUGCGUUUCCAAGCGUAGAUAAGCAUCUCUGAAAAUACAGACGUAUAAGUAUUAAAUGGUAUUUUUCUGUGUGGGAUUUUUGACUAAUUGUUGUUUUAUUCGACUAUUCCUAUAGUUUAGUAAUUGUAGCUUCCUUUCAUAUUUUAGACGCAUAGAAGUAUUUUAAAAUAAGAAAGUGAUGCAACGAUAAUGUUUGGGCUUCAGGUGUCUUGCACAGUGCUCAGCAGCAGAGAUCGACCAGGCAAGGACUGUGUUGAGUGUAUUCUCUGGAACGGGAGCAGGACUUGAAGUCUGGUCCUGCGUAGUUCCAGGACUUCUGUUCUGGGCAGGCUGCUGCUGGCCACUCGUCUGAGAGGAGGAAAUAGAGUUUCCACUCUGGGGGAAGUGGAGGGGAGGGCACGGGAAAGCAUCUCCCAGGCUGUGUGGGGAAAGCAUGCUCCCUAGCUUGCAGACUGACUUUCGGAGGAGGGGGGGAGGGGGUGCAGCUGCUUGUUUCCCCCACAACAGAUAUGCAGAUUCAGCUCUCUCUAUAGGAACCUCUGGACUAUCCCUUUGGACUGAGAGCAGUGAUAACCAGCAAUGAGGUCUCUGUUUUACCUCAACAGACUUGGCAGGACCUUGGUGGCAGCCAUUCACCAAACAUGGAGAAAGUACUGGGGAUUUGGACUGCAGUGAAAUGGACAGCAUUUUAUGCCUCAUAAAUAGAUAAAAAGACAAAGAUUAAACCAAGGCUGCUCUUCUCUACUCUGGAAACAUGGAGGCACGGGAGGAUCCCCCAAAGCUCAAUUCUUACAUCUCCAUUGUGGUUGGCUCUCCAAAAGCCACCUUCUAAGACAGAGGAAUGUAACUGUUUCCAGAGUGAACCAUUCCUGUUUGGAAGACCACAGAGCCUGCUCUUUCUAUAACAUAACUGCUGAACUCCAUCCCACGGGAAGCCAGCAUUUAGACUGUGUGAUACCUGCUGGUUUUCCACUGGCUGGAUAUGGAGGAGUUGGCCACAACCACAGGGCACACAUCAUAGCGCCUCUCUUCUGGAGGGCCUGGCUUUAGGGACGUUCUAUGUUUUAUGCCUCUGGACCUCAGGAUAUGGGGACCGACAGAAGUGGGAACUGUGAGCAAGUACCAAGCACAGAGAGGACUAAAGUGCGAAGCGCACCCCUCAAUUCUGCUGCUGACAUAUAUCCCCGUCUAACACCCGCAUCCUUCUUUAGGCAGGAGGGGCCGGAGACAGAGAUGAGCUUUAUUGCUUCUUUCCAGUCUUGUUAGCAUCUCGUUUUUGUUGAGCUUCUGAAUACCAAGGUUUGCUGAUUUCUAAAGUUAUCUAAAGCUAACAAUGGACACCCACAACUCCUGUGCAGCUGAUGCUACCGCCUGACAGAUGUGAACGCAGGCGCUCAGGGAGGUUGAGAAACUUGUCCAAUGCCAACGGGAAGCACAUCUCAGAGCGGGCAUCCACACCACUGCCUCCCUGAUGCCGAGGCUGGGAGCUUCCUGGCAAGCGAGGCUUUGUCCUGCAGAAGGCUGUGCAGUUUGACAUUCCCUCUAAGGUGGACUGUGGCCAUCAUACUCUAUCUGGACUCAGUAGUCUGCAACUGGGGAAAUUUUAAUUCCAAGGCUGGGACUUCCUGGAACAUUCUGGAACUGAGGGGAACAUCUCACUGAAGCACAUCCCAUAGUUUUCUUCAUUUCUGUUAAUCUCCUUCUCUAGACUUCUGCAAUCACUGUGUAUGUUCACCUGGACCUUACACCCCUGACAGGAAGUGCAGCUUGUGUCUGAGUUUUUCCUUGGGAACCUAAGGAAAACUUGUAUGUGUGAAUCUCUCCACAACGGAAAAUUUAGAUGCUUGGAUCUACUCACAUUCUCAAGCCUAUCAAAUUAAAAGAGAAAACGUGAAUCAGUUUCACUGUAACUCUUGAUUAAACACUUC
rnacentral:lncRNA from 1 species